UAGUCAUAAAUAUUCCCGAACCCGCUAAGCUAACUAGGAAUGCUUGACCCGGUUAAUAAAAGGGAAUAUGGAUUGUGAAUAAGUAGGUUAUAAUCAACUUAAUAACUAACGAAACAUGAAGGACCAAAGUUGGAUAAUUGGAAAUAAGGUUUAUUUACUAAAAACAAAAAUAAAAACACACCACACCUAGUGUGUGCGUGUGUGAGGUCGACCAGGAGAAAGCUCAGGGAGCUCAAACCCUAACUUCCACAACUUGAUCAAAUUGAAGCCCAAAUCAAGAGCCAAAUCACUGCAUGAACACAAAUUCGUGAUCACCUAAUCAUGGGGAUUACAAGUUUGACGCGUCACAAGCUAGGUGGAAGCCUGGAGUGAAAGCGGGUCAAACAAGUCAAGCAUGGAAGAAAAGCGUAGCUCGGAUGCAAGGUAAGUGAAACUUACAUAAUUGUGUAGAUUACUUGUUCAUUCUAUACGUUAUAGAUGCAAUAAUGCUAAUAUUGAAAAUAUGGAUUUCCGACGUGAUUGAUACGAGUCGGAACAUAUAAAGAUGAUAAAAACCAUGUUUAUGGCAAAAAGGGGAUUCGGUAAUGAAAUCCGGGACGGGAUGGAUGUAUGAAUUAGAAGUCAAAAACCAUGUUUUUGAUUUAAUAGGCAACGUUGGGCAUAUAGGCCGAAGGGGUCAAAUGGUGGUAAUAACACUAUUUGACAAUAUCGACUAAUGCGAUUGUCAAGUCUUGUGUUAACAGGAGCGAUUAGCGAUUCAGUUAAUUUCGCCCACACUAAGUGUGAUGAUAAAAGCAAGGUAUAAAUUGGGUCUAUAUGUUGACCCUAGCCAGGUACUUUGUGGAAGCCGGAAGACGAUCAAGCUCAAC